GCGUCAGAUGUGUAUAAGAGACAGGUGAAUCAUCGAAUCUUUGAACGCACAUUGCACCUCUUGGUAAUCCUUGAGGUAUAUUUGUUCGAGCGCCGUUUAAAUAUUAAGACUUUGUCUUUUGUUGAAAUUUACUACGUAAUUGUAGUUUUUCUAAAUAUUUUGGCGUAUUUUUAUUGCAUCAAAACCGCAGUGAAAAUGUGUUUUUAAGUCAAUAAAAGACUGCCUUGUUUAUUAUUCAAAAACAUGGCCUCGGAUCAAAUAGGGAUACCCGCUGAACUUAAGCAUAUCAAUAAGCGGAGG
rnacentral:misc_RNA from 1 species